UACGUAGGGGGGCAAGCGUUGUCCGGAAUCAUUGGGCGUAAAGAGCGCGUAGGCGGCCCAGUAAGUCCGCUCUGAAAGUCAGGGGGCUCAACCCCUGGAUGCGGGUGGAUACUGCUGGGCUAGAGUCCGGAAGAGGUGAGUGGAAUUCCUGGUGUAGCGGUGAAAUGCGUAGAUAUCAUGAGGAAUACCAGAGGCGAAGGCGGCUACCUGGACAAUUGCUGACGCUGAGGCGCGAAAGCUAGGGGAGCAAACGGG
rnacentral:rRNA from 1 species